UGAAGGAAGCUGAUAGCAAACCAUCAGCCUGACGAACAGGAAGCGGAUGUGAGGCGGGACGACAGGGAGAGCUGGCUGGGAUCAGUUAACCCAGUACCGAUACGGAAAGUCGUCACGUAAAUCCGACAGGUAGGAUGGGAAG
rnacentral:ncRNA from 1 species